rnacentral:lncRNA from 13 species
CACGGUUGCAGUGAGAUGGCAUCAUAGCAUCUCUGUGGCUGCGCCAUGGAAGACAUUUACCCCAUCUGAAGGACAAGGGUGUCUCUGCUAAGAAGUGAAGGCAGCUGGGCAUGGCUGGGGAAGAGAGAAGUCGCUCUGCACUUCCCUGCAUCAGCAGGAGGCUUGGUGUUUCUCAAACUUGCCUUUUUUCAAAUUCUUCAUUGGCAAGGAGUUAUGAUUCCCUCCUUCAGCAAGAUCAAAAAUUCACCCUUCUUCUCAGGACCAUCUUUUACUGGAUCUCUCCACUUACAUUGCUGGUACGUUUGAAGAUAGGGGCUUUGCAAUACCUCUGCCCAGAGAGACAAUACCUCUGCCUGUGAGAUGUGAACGGCAUCACUAUCGGCAAGGCAAAAGAAGCAAACAAAAAAAAAUGCCCAACCCAAAACUUUGUUUUCAAUCAGCACCAUUUUCUCCUCUUCCCUCUGACCUUUUCAAAAUCAAGAUAAGGUUUACUUUAAAUGAGGUGCACAAAAUUACAAACACCAGCUAGUUGUCCUAGUAGUGUCUUUUGGGGAAAACUUCAGUUUUAAAGAAGUGACUCAUUAGUUUCUGUGCUUUCCAAAUGACAAAAAUGCCUUCACUGCACUUCCCUCAAGCACUGCUCUACUUGCCUUCUAUAGCAUCAGAUUCUUGUUGGUAACAGUAGCUAGUUUUUGCUUCAGGACUGGAUUAUCCUGUGAGACCCCUACUCUCUCUGAAAACAGGAGCCAGGCUCCACAGAGAAGAUACAGAAGCAUAGGUAGACUUAUUUCUAUAAACCGCAGCAGAAUAGUAUAUUUCUGGAAAGUUCUAAAAUAAGCUAACAAAGCCCAGAAAUUAAAAGCAGUACUAGUUCUGCUCUUUUUGAAACAACUGGGGGCAGCUAAGCUCAUUCCUGAAACUGGAGAUUUGCUCAAGCCACCACACCUGGGCAAGCUGCAGAUAUUGGGUUACCUAAGACAGUCCAGAGGGAGUAAGCACCUCAUACAUUUAGCCUUCCCCAGUAAGAGAUAACAGUGGAGCCCAAAAGGGACUGCAAGAACCAGGAAACCUGAAUUUGGAUUCUCGUUCUGCAAAUACCAGCCCUUGCUGAAGCGAAUGAAACAGAGUCCAGGUUUAGGAAACCUUUGUGCAAAUCAAUAAAGUGAACAGAAAGAACAACCAGAGUGUAAAGGAACAAGAUACUGCUGUGGAAUUACUGUACCUGCACCAAUAGUCAACCAAGAUAAUGUUCAACCCAGCCUACAGCUGUUAACUCUAGUGUGAAGACACCCGAGCCCGUAUUAGCACAGCAGUCUGGGGACAUCCUGUGUGCCAGGAACAAUGGCUGCCCACAACGAGACUGCCUGUCCAAUCAGAGAUUUUGUCAGUCUCCCAUGGGCUUCUUCCCACUUGAACUGUGUGCCUCCCCUCCAGGCUAUUGCUGGGGCAGCAGAGACUCACUGCACCCUUGCCAAAGUACUCAGGGCUUUGCCAUGAAAACAGCCACUAGCCAACCUUCACUCCAGGCUGGUCCUUACAACUUCCCCUUGAACCUUCGUCACAGACUUUGUUUCUCUGUGCUCUGAAGAAACUUUCUGACACUUUCAUGCCCUGAAUACAGAAUAUCCAAAUCAGCUUCCUCAUGUGUUUUUAGCAGUGCUUGCACUGAGUUUCUACUUCGAAUGUGAGAACAGGAUGCCCUGACAAAACAGUGCCACAUCCCAAGCCCAAGUGUGGAGUCUGCCACCAUAACUGUUUUGAUUAAAAUAGAAAGCAUUACUGAAUGUAGAUAAAAAAGGCCAUGAAAUACAGAUUGCUAAGGUCAGAAGAAUUCUGCAAAUGGGUCAUCAUUUCCAGUACAUUUACAUUUACAGUACUGACACUAAAACCAAUGCUCUAACUGCAAUAUCAGUGUUCUUCUCAAUGCUUUUUAAUAAAGUUUUUUCCAAAAUGCUCACGGGAAGGUGAAUUCUCAGCAUGGGCUAACAUGCUCAGAAACCUCAUUGAAAGACUUCCUAAACAUACAAAGUAAUAAUAAGCAGCACAGAUGUAGUGGAAUUUGAUGUUGUAAUUAUAAUUACAGCUUAAAUUAAUUUUCAAAUGAAAGCAAAGCAUUCUAAUACCUACUCUUUCCUAAAUAAAAAUUUUCAUUUCAUGAAUACAAGCCUUGGACUCAUCACUCAGGAUUUUCUCAACUUACUUAGAGCACCUAUAAACUUUCACCCUGUCCACUGUGUAAAUUUCUAUAGGUGCACUGUAAUUUCUGUAGUGUUUUGUAUGAACACUCCAGGCUUUUCAAUUAAGAUAUAAGGCAUUAUAUCAGCUUUACAUAUAUACAUAUUUCAAAAGAAGAAGCUUCCAGUCAUGGAAGGAAUUUUUAAAGAAAUUCGUGGAAACAGUAGCUUCACUGAUCAAUAUUGCUAGGUGAGAGAAAUGGCCUCUCCAUUUCCCUGUUAUCCCUUGAGACAGAUACGUUCAUAAAUAUGAGAAAGCAGAAGAAGUCUUCCAAGCUGCCAACAUAUUUGCACAUCAUAUAACUUGCCCUAUGAUAAUAAAUACCCUGCUGCACCUGCUUGCCUUUAUUGAAGGAUAUGUAGGAAAUUUCUUCCUCAAGUUAGUAGCUCUACCUGUGAAUAGUGGGAUACUGCCUACAAGGUAAGGUUUUACAGUUUCAUCUGACCUCUCAGUUUCCCUUCAUGAAGUGUGCUUUCUAUCAUUACUACUUUCUGAGAACUUGGAGGAAAGGUCAGGACACUUUUGUCUAGGAGUGAGCAAACAAAUAAUUAAUUUAUAUGUAUUUAGUUCUUUAAGAAAUGCCUACUGGUUUUGUCCAAAUAUAAAGUAAUAAUAUGCAUGAACAUGUCAAUAUUAAUCUUGAUUUCCACAGUUCAAUAUAGCUACCUCUUAAAUGACUGUCCUAAAAUGUGUUUGUUAUCUUGAGAUGACAACCCAGAUAGAAACAAAUUAAUUCACACUACUGAAAAAGAAUAUUUAUAGUGUUAUUAGGUGAGGGCUGGAAACACAGUGAGUGAAAAUGCCAGCCAAACCUCUUCUGACCCACAUCACACUCCCAAGUCCCGGAAAUGAAGUCCAUGCUUGACUCUUAUCGCACUCCUUGGAAUGUGGCAGCACAAGAGGGUAAUCACACAGCGGUGCCGCAGUAUCAGCGCCCUGUCAGCUGGGGCUUUGCAACCACAGAACAGAGCCCUUGUCUGCCCAGGGAUAGUAUCUAAAAUAGGCUCAGCAAAACACAAAAGAAGGGCUAAUAAUCCCUGCCCUAGAGAGUACACCCUCUGGCAGUUUGAUGCUGUGUUGAAACUCAUAAGCACGGCUCUUCAGUCGGUGCCAACCCCCUGAAAUAUCCAUAAAAGUCUGC